CGUGCUGCAGCUGAGGUCUGGAGGCAGGCAGUUUGCCUCCCUAGCCCUUUGUUUCCUCUGCUGAGCUGUGGCCACGGGAAGAGUGACUGUGCCCAUAAGUCUGGUGAUGGAGAUGCCUGGAUGAAGGUGACCAGUUUAUUUCACACAGGGCAAACAUCUGUCAUCUUAGACCUGAGCCUGCAUUUGAGCCAUUGACCUAGGAGGGAGAAACUAUGAAUCAGAACACCAAUCCUUUCAGGGCUUCUCUUCUGAAAGUUAUGAACCAGAAAACAGCCACAUACCAAAACAGCACAGUCUGUUCAUAAGAACGGCCAUAUGGGUCUGAUCAAUGUCCAUCUAGUCCAAGAUCCUGUCCUCCAACAGUGGCCAAUGCCAGGUGCUUCAGAGGGAAUGAACAGAACAGGGCAAUUAUCAAGUGAUCCAUCCUCGGUUGUUCAGUCCCAGCUUCUUGCAGUUGGAGGUUUAGGGACACCUAGAGUCUGCGGUUGCAUCCCUGACCAUCUUAGCUAAUAGCCAUUAAUGGACCUCUUCUCCAUGAAUUUAUCUAGUUAUACUGUUCAGAAAUAGGGGAAACAGAGGUCAGAUUCCCAGACAGUGUUUCAGGGGAGCAUCUCUGUCUGCUACUCUGGACAUUGGAAAUUUCUACAUGACUCUUUUCACUUACUUCCCUGCUAGGCAGAGGGUGUGUUGGUCUGUGGCAAGAGCUCCCCACGUGCGGUAGAUCCACUUUGUGAUUUGCUGCUCACCUCCCCACAUGUGUAAAUGUUUUGUGGAUUGUGCUGAGGGUAUCACUCAGCUGCUCAGGGGUGCUGAACCUUUAAGGAAAUGUUUGUUUAUGCAGUGCUGCCAGAUUUCCUAUGCUGCUUGGCACAGGGUCACACAUCUCCUUGUCUGUCUUUAUUAAUGCCCAUUUCUGUUUAACAAUGUGUAGUGACAUAGAGCUUUCUUUGUGGGUUUUACAUUCCACUGAGAUUAUAUAUAGGUUCUGAGCUCCUACCACCAAUAAUGCUACAAAAACGUCUAUUUCUUUCAGGCAGCUGCUGCUCCUGCUAAGGAAUUCUUCAAAGCGAGGCUGCUGGUUUCAAAGGCCAUCCAUUCCCUUGAACGUGGCGAUUCUGGCACCAGAUCUGCUAACCUCACAGUCAGUCGCCAGUUAUCCAAACACGGCCACAUUUCGAUGCUCUCUUAUGAGCAUGGGGCACAUGCAUAAACACAGAGGGAAAACAAUGCGGGCCACUUCUGGUCUCUGCUGAAAGACGUUUACAUUGGUAAGAAUGGUUUUGUAUCAUAAAUGAUAGGAAUUUCCUGUGAGUGAGAGGGAUCAGAUAGAGGUACAUAGGCGCAACUGGAUACUCUGCUUGUAUGAUUUGAGAUACAUGUUGAAAGUUAAUGUGCAAGAUGAAUUACCCAGUACUAGGUGAGAAUGACAUAUUUUUGUUAUGAUGAAAGAAUUGGAGUACAAGGUUCCAAAACACUUUGUUUUUUCAAAUGACAUUUCAUGAGCCUGUUUGCCCCAUACUGGGGACUGUGGGUACUUCUUAAAUAAAAGAAUUAAAGCAGA